GCGCUUUGCUCAACCGUGGCGCAAACGAUUGCUUAAAUAUAAAUAUGCACCUGACUCUUAAUCAGGGUGUCCAGGGUUCGAGCCCCUGAAGGUGUA
rnacentral:tRNA from 1 species